CCCUCAGAAACACCGGUGUACGAGGAGAGCGCGGAGCCACAGCAGCGGCGGCCACAUGAUAAGAAGCCUUAACCAGAAGCCACCAGGAAACAGCAGCAGCUGUAGGAGACGCGAGGAGAACAGAAGCAGGUGGACGCUGAGACACACAGAGCGUAGGAACAGGUUCCCUCAGAAACACCGGUGUACGAGGAGAGCGCGGAGCCACAGCAGCGGCGGCCACAUGAUAAGAAGCCUUAACCAGAAGCCACCAGGAAACAGCAGCAGCUGUAGGAGACGCGAGGAGAACAGAAGCAGGUGGACGCUGAGACACACAGAGCGUAGGAACAGGCAUGCAGAUGAAGAGCUCAGAGUGGAAACAAUGCAAGUCUAAUGCUCAGGUGUGGAGAACCGGGGGUAUGGAGGAGUCCCAGUGGAAAGUAAAGGGAUCGGUGACUGACCAGUUCCAUCCAGAAGAUUGGGACCAUCCACUAUCUGGCUCCUUCACCAAGCAACUCGUAUUGAGAAGUGAGGUUCCAGAGGCAGCAGCAGCCGAUUAUACCGUGUCUGUGAUGUCACAGUGUACUGGCUGACUGACAUCAUCACCAGCCAUCAGCACCAGCCUGGAGAAAUGUCCAUCUUGUUUAUUUCAUCAGUCCAUACAG